CAGUAGCCGCGGUAAUACGAAGGGGGCUAGCGUUGCUCGGAAUGACUGGGCGUAAAGGGUGCGUAGGCGGGUCUUUAAGUCAGGGGUGAAAUCCUGGAGCUCAACUCCAGAACUGCCUUUGAUACUGAAGAUCUUGAGUUCGGGAGAGGUGAGUGGAACUGCGAGUGUAGAGGUGAAAUUCGUAGAUAUUCGCAAGAACACCAGUGGCGAAGGCGGCUCACUGGCCCGAUACUGACGCUGAGGCACGAAAGCGUGGGGAGCAAGCAGGAUUAGAGACCCCCGUAGUCCCUGUCUCUUAUAC
rnacentral:rRNA from 1 species